rnacentral:rRNA from 1 species
UACGUAGGGUGCAAGCGUUAAUCGGAAUUACUGGGCGUAAAGCGUGCGCAGGCGGCUUCGCAAGUCAGACGUGAAAUCCCCGGGCUUAACCUGGGAAUGGCGUUUGAAACUACGGAGCUGGAGUGUGGCAGAGGGAGGUAGGAUUCCACGUGUAGCGGUGAAAUGCGUAGAUAUGUGGAGGAAUACCGAUGGCGAAGGCAGCCUCCUGGGCCAACACUGACGCUCAUGCACGAAAGCGUGGGGAGCAAACAGG